rnacentral:rRNA from 1 species
GACGAACGUUGGCGGCGUGCUUAAUACAUGCAAGUCAACUGAAGCAGUGGUAGCAAUAUCGCUGUGGAGGUGGCGCACGGGUGAGUAACACGUAGGUAAUCUGCCUUCAGGUCUGGCAUAACUCCGGGAAACCGGGGCUAAUAGCAGAUGAUGCAGCGGCUCGACAUCGAGACAGUUGUUAAAGCUAUGGCGCCUGAAGAUGAGCCUGCGUCUGAUUAGCUAGUUGGCGGGGUAACGGCCCACCAAGGCAACGAUCAGUAGCUGGUCUGAGAGGAUGAUCAGCCACACUGGAACUGAGACACGGUCCAGACUCCUACGGGAGGCAGCAGUAAGGAAUGUUGCUCAAUGGGAGAAAUCCUGAAGCAGCAACGCCGCGUGAGGGACGAAGGGCUUUUGCUUGUAAACCUCUGUAGUGAGAGAAAAAAAUCCCAAUCUUUGGGACAUGAUGGUAUCUCAAAAGUAAGCCCCGGCUAACUACGU